rnacentral:lncRNA from 1 species
ACUCAAAUCCCCUUUGGUCUAAGGCGCCCUUUGCGGGUUUUCACCUUAGCCUCUCCAUUUUUACUUUUUUCAUUUUUCAUUUUCAUCUUUUCAUUUUUCACAUCACUUUUUUUUUGGACUCAAACUUCCCUUUGCGUGUUUUUACCUUGGUCUUCUCCUUCUUUAAGCGGAGAAUUUCCUGCCUGAAUCUGAGUUUACAGGACUUUACAGGUUUAUCAUCCAUUUCACUUAAAAUCAAAGCUCC